rnacentral:rRNA from 1 species
UACGUAGGUGACAAGCGUUGUCCGGAUUUACUGGGCGUAAAGAGCGCGCAGGCGGUCUGUCAAGUCGAGUGUGAAAGCCCCCGGCUCAACUGGGGAGGGUCACUCGAUACUGAUCGACUCGAAGGCAGGAGAGGGAAGUGGAAUUCCCGGUGUAGUGGUGAAAUGCGUAGAUAUCGGGAGGAACACCAGUGGCGAAGGCGACUUCCUGGCCUGUUCUUGACGCUGAGGCGCGAAAGCUAGGGGAGCAAACGGG